GUAUAUUUCUUUUAUAGCUUACCGUUUCGAUACAUGAGGCGCAAUUAGCAAAUACCUGUACAUACGACCUGAUGCCUGUCAGAUACUCUGUCGAGCGUCCUGGCGUCUGCCCCUUUCGACUCCCAACCAAAAUAUCUGCUUCGCACCCCUUCUCUUUGCUCGAAGUCCCUAGUCUCUUCCGUGAAUAGCAAUUUCUCCAGAUUCGCCAUGGAUCCUAACGAUUCUUCGCUCUUCUCUCCACCCUCUUGUUGCCGGUAGUCUGAGAUCGAACCGAAUCGCGGAACCAACUGCGGGCUCCUCGGGGAGCAUCUCCUCCAGACACGGGAGCCAGUUGGGCAAGCGCAGGAUCCCCGGCUCCCAGACACCGGCGCUGACCGCCGUGACGGCCUUGGAGAUGAGGAGGCAAGGUUGUGGCCAUGGCACGUUUGCCCGCAAGGCAGGAGUUCACACGCCACUGGAUGGUGACGAUGCGGAAGUUGGAGGGCAAACGAGCUGCUAGAUUGAAUAGAAGGCAAUCAACUAUACAUUUAUUGUCGAUGCUUGCAACAUUUUCUAGUUAUAAAAUAUAAUGAGGAGGACUGGACUAGGAAACAACGAAAAUCCAGGAAACAAUUGUCUUGUGCUAGUCUUGUGUGGUUUGACCAUGUUCAUUGGGUAAGCAAAUUGGCAAGAUGAGGCGUUAGUGCAGCCGAUAGGCCUGUUGUUAGUUUGUUCAUUGUAAUGUCUUGCAAUGUUGAAUCAGUACCAUUGCUUUUCUUGUUUGCGAGGACUAUCUACUCAAUUAAUUCGCCUUUUGUGUUUUA